rnacentral:tRNA from 1 species
GAGGGUAUAGCUCGGGGGUACAGCGUGUGCUUAGCAUGCCCAAGGUCCUGGGUUUAAUCCCUGGUACCUCCA